GACGAACGCUGGCGGCGUGCUUAACACAUGCAAGUCGAACGGUAAGGCCCUUCGGGGUACACGAGUGGCGAACGGGUGAGUAACACGUGGGUGAUCUGCCCUGCACUUCGGGAUAAGCCUGGGAAACUGGGUCUAAUACCGGAUAGGACCACUGCCUGCAUGGGUGGUGGUGGAAAGCUUUUGCGGUGUGGGAUGGGCCCGCGGCCUAUCAGCUUGUUGGUGGGGUGAUGGCCUACCAAGGCGUCGACGGGUAGCCGGCCUGAGAGGGUGACCGGCCACACUGGGACUGAGAUACGGCCCAGACUCCUACGGGAGGCAGCAGUGGGGAAUAUUGCAAAAUGGGCGCAAGCCUGAUGCAGCGACGCCGCGUGAGGGAUGACGGCCUUCGGGUUGUAAACCUCUUUCAGCACCGACGAAGCGCAAGUGACGGUAGGUGCAGAAGAAGGACCGGCCAACUACGUGCCAGCAGCCGCCGUAA
rnacentral:rRNA from 1 species